CCUGGACCGUUUAACAGUUCCUGCAACAAGCCUUUGUACAAUCGGGGGAAAUUUGACCAUUCAGACAGGCUACAUCUCUCUAUGUUCACCUCCCCGCAGCCAGCCUCGCUCGGGCGUGUCAUUUCGGUGCGCGGUUCGCUGGCGCGCGUCGGCCUUAUGGCGACCAGCCAGAUCAAUGACGCCAACGUACGCGCCACCGUCGGCCAGUUNNNNNNACCCGCCCCGCGACCACCAUCAUCGUCGCGAUGAUCACCGAGGUCAGCCGCGAAAACCUUCCGGCGACCGACAACUACAUCGCGAUCGCCUCGGUCGACCUGCUU
rnacentral:misc_RNA from 1 species